AUAAGUAUGUGAUUGCAGAAUUCAGUGAAUCAUCGAAUUUUUGAACGCACCUUGCGCUCCUUGGUAUUCCGAGGAGCAUGCCUGUUUGAGUGUCAUGUUAUUCUCAGCCCCCUCAGAUUUUAUCUCGAGGUUGGGCCUGGAUUUGGAGGCUGCUGGAUUUUGUUCAGCUCUUCUUAAAUAAAUUAGUGUGAAUGUUCGCUGAAUAUCGCUCGGUGUGAUAAUUGUCUACACUGUCGAUUUUUCGGUGAAGCUAAUAAAAAUGUUCAUGCUUCGAAUUGUUCUGUUGAAGAACACUCUUAUCGAAUUUGACCUCAAAUCAGGUAGGACUACCCGCUGAACUUAAGCAUAUCAAUAAGCGGAGGAAAAGAAACUAACAAGGAUUCCCCUAGUAACUGCGAGUGAAGCGGGAAAAGCUCAAAUUUAAAAUCUGAUAGUCUUUGGCUGUCCGAGUUGUAAACUGGAGAAGCAUUUUCCGCGCUGGACCGUGUACAAGUCUCUUGGAAUAGAGCAUCAUAGAGGGUGAGAAUCCCGUCUUUGACACGGACUGCCAGUGCUUUGUGAUGUGCUUUCAAAGAGUCGAGUUGUUUGGGAAUGCAGCUCAAAAUGGGUGGUAAAUUCCAUCUAAAGCUAAAUAUUGGCGAGAGACCGAUAGCGAACAAGUACCGUGAGGGAAAGAUGAAAAGCACUUUGGAAAGAGAGUUAAACAGUACGUGAAAUUGCUGAAAGGGAAACGCUUGAAGUCAGUCGUGUUGUUCAGAAUUCAGCCUGGUUUUGGCCUGGUGUAUUUUCUGUUCGACGGGCCAGCAUCAAUUUUGAUCAUUGGAAAAAGGUCUUGGGAAUGUGGCAUCCUCGGAUGUGUUAUAGCCCUUGGCUGCAUACAAUGGUUGGGAUUGAGGAACUCAGCACGCCUUUAUGGUCGGGGUUCGCCCACGUUUCGUGCUUAGGAUGCUGGCGUAAUGGCUUUAAACGACCNDUCUUGAAACACGGACCAAGGAGUCUAACAUGCCUGCGAGUAUUUGGGUGGAAAACCCGAGUGCGCAAUGAAAGUGAAAGUUGGGAUCUCUGUCAUGGGGAGCACCGACGCCCGGACCAGACCUUUUGUGACGGCUCCGCGGUAGAGCAAGUAUGUUGGGACCCGAAAGAUGGUGAACUAUGCCUGAAUAGGGUGAAGCCAGAGGAAACUCUGGUGGAGGCUCGUAGCGAUUCUGACGUGCAAAUCGAUCGUCAAAUUUGGGUAUAGGGGCGAAAGACUAAUCGAACCAUCUAGUAGCUG
rnacentral:rRNA from 1 species